UACGAAGGGGGCUAGCGUUGUUCGGAAUUAUUGGGCGUAAAGAGCUCGUAGGCGGUGUGUCACGUCGGCCGUGAAAACCUGCAGCUUAACUGUGGGCGUGCGGUCGAUACGGGCAUCACUGGAGUUCGGCAGGGGAGACUGGAAUUCUCGGUGUAGCGGUGAAAUGCGUAGAUAUCGAGAGGAACACCUGCGGCGAAGGCGGGUUGCUGGGCUGAUACUGACGCUGAGGCGCGAAAGCCAGGGGAGCGAACGGG
rnacentral:rRNA from 1 species